GUUUUCCUUUGACUAACACUUGAAGAAUAAUUUUCAUUUUAGUUCUAGAAGUAACCUUCUGUUACUCUCACUUAGGUGCUCUUUUGGGCCUAAAUAUAAUUAGAUCCUUCGCCGUUGUUUUGAGGUAAAUCUAAACGAAAAGGAACACCUGUUAACAGGUAGUGAUGCCGCAGGAAAGUGCUGGGAAGGGAAUGCUGGGAAGGGAAGGGCGUGGUCCCUUUAAAUGAUAAGGAAGGGGGGCGGGAAGUGCUGGGUAGAGGAGGGCGUGGUCCCCAGCUAGGGCUUCAUCCCUGGGCCUGGGCCUACCUAGGUGAAGACAGGCAUUUUUGUUUUCCUGCCCGGAUGUUGCAUUUCCCAAGACCACCCUGGCCUGCCAUGCCCUCAUCCUGUGCCUUUAAAAACCCCCGAGACCCUGGCAGGCAGACGCACAAGCAGCUGGACAUUGAGAGGAGCAUAUAGGCAGAGAAUACAGGGGCUGCUGGAUGUCGAAAGGAACGCACCAGCAUAGGAGCACACCGGCAUGCUGGCAGGCCAUUGACCAGCGGAAGAAUGCAGAGUUUGUCGCGGGAGGUCAGAGAAGAGUCAGGCCGCCAUACCUGACUCCAGGAGAAAACCGUCUCCCUUCUGGUUCCCCCGUCUGCCGAGAGCUACUUCCACUCAAUAAAACUUUCCACUCAUUCUUCAAGCCCACGUGUGAUCCAAUUCUUCCCGUACACCAAGGUCUCGCUGUGUUUCCCAGGCUGGGUGCAGUGGCUAUUCAAAGGUACAAUGAUAGCUCACUGCAGCCUGGAACUCCUGGACUCAAGCGAUCCUCCUGCCUCAGCUGCGACUAACAGGUCAAAACAGUCACAAGCCUGCUCAAAUUCGGAAAGAGGGGACGGAAAUGGAACCUCUUCAUGGGAGGAAGAAACAGGGUCUUGCUCUGUUGCCCUGGCUGGAGUGCAAUGGUAUGAUCAUAGCUCACAGUAGCCUUGAACUCCUGGGCCCAAGCCAUCCUCCUACCUCAGCAACCAGAGUAGCUGGGAUUACAGGCGAAUGCCACCACACCUGGGUAAUUUCUUUUUCUUUUUCUUCUUGUUUUUAUUAGAGAUAGGAUCAUGCUAUGUUGCCCAAGCUGGUCUUGAACUUCUGGCCUCCAGCAGUCCUCCUGCCUGAGCCUCCCAAGUAGCUGGGAUUACAGGCAUGAGCCACCAGUCCUGGCAGAUUUGUUAAUUUCUUUGAAUUAUUAUAUAUUUUUAAGUUUACUUCCAUGUAUUUGACUUUUUGUGUGCUUAUAACUGG
rnacentral:lncRNA from 1 species